rnacentral:rRNA from 1 species
CAGUCGCCGCGGUAAAACGUAGGGUGCAAGCGCUAAUCGGAAUUACUGGGCGUAAAGCGUGCGUAGGCGGUGAGUUAAGUCUGCUGUGAAAUCCCCGGGCUCAACCUGGGAAUGGCAGUGGAUACUGGCUCGCUAGAGUGUGUCAGAGGAUGGUGGAAUUCCCGGUGUAGCGGUGAAAUGCGUAGAUACCGGGAGGAACGCCGAUGGCGAAGGCAGCCACCUGGUCCACUUCUGACGCUGAGGCGCGAAAGCGUGGGGAGCAAACCGGAUUAGAUACCCCCGUAGUCCCUGUCUCUUAUAC